GAUGAACGCUGGCGGCGUGCCUAAUACAUGCAAGUCGAGCGAACAGAUAAGGAGCUUGCUCCUUUGACGUUAGCGGCGGACGGGUGAGUAACACGUGGGUAACCUACCUAUAAGACUGGAAUAACUCCGGGAAACCGGGGCUAAUGCCGGAUAACAUUUAGAACCGCAUGGUUCUAAAGUGAAAGAUGGUUUUGCUAUCACUUAUAGAUGGACCCGCGCCGCAUUAGCUAGUUGGUAAGGUAACGGCUUACCAAGGCAACGAUACGUAGCCGACCUGAGAGGGUGAUCGGCCACACUGGACCGGAGACACGGUCCAGACUCCUACGGGAGGCAGCGGUGGGAAAUCUUCCGCAAUGGGCGAAAGCCUGACGGGGCAACGCCGCGUGAGUGAUGAAGGUCUUCGGAUCGUAAAACUCUGUUAUUAGGAAAGAACAAAUGUGUAAGUAACAGUGCACGUCUUGACGGUACCUAAUCAGAAAGCCACGGCUAACUACGU
rnacentral:rRNA from 1 species